CACACAUGCCCAGGCGGAGCUCGACCGCCAGUUCAAGCCAUGUUCGCGUUCAUCGACGAUCACCGCGAGGCGCAUGGGGUCGAGCCGAUCUGCAAGGUGUUGCCGAUCGCCCCG
rfam:Mesorhizobium australicum strain B5P genome assembly, contig: Ga0048943_13